UUUUAACUCAGUGGUAGAGUAAUCCCAUGGUAACACGUAAGCCCUCGGUUCAAACCCAACAAGGGGCU
rnacentral:tRNA from 1 species